rnacentral:rRNA from 1 species
UACAGAGGGGGCAAGCGUUGUUCGGAAUUACUGGGCGUAAAGGGCGCGUAGGCGGCCUUCUAAGUCGAACGUGAAAUCCCCGGGCUCAACCCGGGCACUGCGUCCGAUACUGGAAGGCUUGAAUCCGGGAGAGGGAUGUGGAAUUCCAGGUGUAGCGGUGAAAUGCGUAGAUAUCUGGAGGAACACCGGUGGCGAAGGCGACAUCCUGGACCGGUAUUGACGCUGAGGCGCGAAAGCCAGGGGAGCAAACGGG